rnacentral:rRNA from 1 species
UACAGAGGUCUCAAGCGUUGUUCGGAUUCAUUGGGCGUAAAGGGUGUGUAGGUGGCGCCGUAAGUCAGGUGUGAAAUUUAGGAGCUCAACUCCGAAACUGCAUUUGAUACUGCGGUGCUUGAGGACUGGAGAGGAGACUGGAAUUCACGGUGUAGCAGUGAAAUGCGUAGAUAUCGUGAGGAAGACCAGUGGCGAAGGCGGGUCUCUGGACAGUUCCUGACACUGAGGCACGAAGGCCAGGGGAGCAAACGGG